UGAGGAAUAUUGGUCAAUGGGCGGAAGCCUGAACCAGCCAAGUCGCGUGAGGGAAGACGGUCCUAUGGAUUGUAAACCUCUUUUGCAGGGGAGCAAGGCGAGGUACGUGUACCGCGAAGGAGAGUACCCUGAGAAAAAGCAUCGGCUAACUCCGUGCCAGCAGCCGCGGUAAUACGGAGGAUGCGAGCGUUAUCCGGAUUUAUUGGGUUUAAAGGGUGCGCAGGCGGACUGUUAAGUCAGCGGUAAAAUGUCGGUGCUCAACACCGGCCGGCCGUUGAAACUGGCAGCCUUGAGUGAGCGAGA
rnacentral:rRNA from 1 species